ensembl:lncRNA
AGUUUGAAGAGGAUUUUUAAGGCAAGGCGGGAAACCCAGAAAUCACUUGUUAAAAAAGCGUCCUCUGGGACGACUCCUCCGCCCCCACCCCCAGCCUCGCCUUUCUGGCUUCUAAACACAGAGCGGGCCUGGCUCCAGCCCCAUUCGACUCCCUCGGGCCAGAACCCGCCCUCUGCCUUCGGGCUGGGCCAACUCCUGGGCCCUCAGCACCCACCGGUGACGACACUACCGCUUCCGGCCUUCAAAGCGUCGGGCGUGGCCGCAGCCCAAGCCCUGGAGCCCCGCCCCUUGCGGCGAGAGGCAGGAAGCGGAAGUGGCGUCACCGGCCCGGGGCGGUCUUUGUCCCGUGGCCUAGCGCCUUUCCGAGCCUCUCCUCUUGGUCGUUUUGCGGUGCUUGGUGUCGUCGGUGAGGCCGCGUGCCAGGAAGGUUCGGACGCAAGGAGGGCGUUAAAGGACAGGAGGAUGAGAAUUUCCGCUGGGCAAGUCAGGUUGGCCCGGCCCUGCGGUGGUCACCGCCCUGUCGCUCCUGGCUGUCCCGAUGAUAUGGAGGAUGGAGGUGUGCUUUUCUCAAAGAAUUGA